rnacentral:rRNA from 1 species
UCGAGAAUCUUUCGCAAUGGGCGAAAGCCUGACGAAGCGACGCUGUGUGAGUGAUGAAGGCCUUCGGGUUGUAAAACUCUUUCGCAUAAGAACAAUGAGGUUUCGUGAAUAACGAGAUUCUCUUGAGGGUAUUAUGUAAAGAAGCACCGGCUAACUCCGUGCCAGCAGCUGCGGUAAUACGGAGGGUGCAAGCAUUAAUCGGAUUUAUUGGGCGUAAAGGGCGCGUAGGUGGAUAAGCGGGUCAGAUGUGAAAUUCCGGGGCUCAACUUCGGAACUGCAUUUGAAACUACUUGUCUAGAGGGUUGAUAGAGGAAACGGAAUUCCACGUGUAGCGGUGAAAUGCGUAGAUAUGUGGAGGAACACCGGUGGCGAAGGCGGUUUCCUGGUUAACACCUGACAC